UUCUUAUUUAAACGCGAUGGUUCCCCAAAAGGGAUCAAAAGGGAAUGUGGUUAGCGCACUCCGCGCGAUGCCGCAGCUGCCCCCGCAACUGUAUAUGGCGAGCCGAGGACCAACCAAGCCACUGGAGCUGAUGUCUCUGGGAAGGCGGUUCGAGGUGAUGACCCAUGAGCCAGGAGACCUGCCAUCAUUCGUGGUCACGC
rnacentral:ncRNA from 2 species